rnacentral:rRNA from 1 species
UACUGAUAAAACUCACACUAAUCCCACAAAUAAUUCACGAUUAUCAAACACUAACAUAUACUACAUAACAAACCAUUGUCCCCAU